AUGACCGCGGCUGGUAGCGCAAGGGCGUGCGGCGGCGGCGAGGGGUCGCCGUCGCGGAGCAGGGCCAGGACCUCCCGGUGCCGGCCGAGGCGCGACAAGGUGCGCACGCGGGCGCUCCAUGGCUCCGUGCCGUUAGCGUCGCCUGCUAAGGCGGCGGCGGUGGAGGUCGCCGCGGAGCUCCAACAGCUGACGGAGAAGCUUGAAAGAGAAGCCCAUUCCAGAGCUGACUUGGAGAAGGAGCUUGACAAGGAGAGGAAGACCAAGGCUCUUGUGGAGGAGGAGGUUGACAAGGAGAGGAAGGCCAAGGCUCUUGUGGAGGAGGAGCUUGACAAGGAGAGGAAGGCCAAGGCCACGUACAAGCAGCAGAUAGCAAAGAACCAAACUGAAGCGAAGAAAAGGAAGAGUGAUAUGGCCACUAUCUGA
rnacentral:rRNA from 1 species